ACACACACACACACACACACACACACACACACACACACACACACACACACACACACACACACACACACACACACACACACACACACACACACACACACACACACAAAUAAUCAUUUCUACAUCCCUGUGAGCAUGACGGUCUGUGCAUACUGUAUGUCCUGGUACCUUUACUAAAUAGGUUUCUAACCUCAAGGAUUUUCCUGGUUAAAUAAAAAGUGAAAUAUGUCUUGCGGACAUAUUUGGGUGAACCUAUCCUGUAAUUUCUGAGCAAUUAGGCUACUAUCUACUCAUAGACAUAGAAUCACUAGAACAGAUAUUCCCAGUCAAUGUCAAAGUCAACGUUGUGUUGUACAUUCUAUUUCUGUGGCUCUACGUUAGGAUUGAUUGGAUAGGUAUCAUCAGUUAGCUAAUGGCCUGGUACUCAGGGAUCUGCUGUCCCUCCAUCUGGUCCUAAUGGCCUGGUACUCAGGGAUCUGCUGUCCCUCCAUCUGGUCCUAAUGGCCUGGUACUCAGGGAUCUGCUGUCCCUCCAUCUGGUCCUAAUGGUCUGGUACUCAGGGAUCUGCUGUCUCUCCAUCUGGUCCUAAUGGUCUGGUACUCAGGGCUCUGCUGUCCCUCCAUCUGGUCCUAAUGGUCUGGUACUCAGGGAUCUGCUGUCCCUCCAUCUGGUCCUAAUGGUCUGGUACUCAGGGAUCUGCUGUCCCUCCAUCUGGUCCUAAUGGUCUGGUACUCAGGGCUCUGCUGUCCCUCCAUCUGGUCCUAAUGGUCUGGUACUCAGGGCUCUGCUGUCCCUCCAUCUGGUCCUAAUGGUCUGGUACUCAGGGCUCUGCUGUCCCUCCAUCUGGUCCUAAUGGUCUGGUACUCAGGGCUCUGCUGUCCCUCCAUCUGGUCCUAAUGGUCUGGUACUCAGGGCUCUGCUGUCCCUCCAUCUGGUCCUAAUGGCCUGGUACUCAGGGAUCUGCUGUCCCUCCAUCUGGUCCUAAUGGUCUGGUACUCAGGGCUCUGCUGUCCCUCCAUCUGGUCCUAAUGGUCUGGUACUCAGGGCUCUGCUGUCCCUCCAUCUGGUCCUAAUGGCCUGGUACUCAGGGCUCUACUGUCCCUCCAUCUGGUCCUAAUGGUCUGGUACUCAGGGCUCUGCUGUCCCUCCA